rnacentral:rRNA from 1 species
ACGGGAGGCAGCAGUGGGGAAUAUUGGACAAUGGGGGAAACCCUGAUCCAGCGACGCCGCGUGAGUGAAGAAGUAUUUCGGUAUGUAAGCUCUAUCAGCAGGGAAGAAAAUGACGGUACCUGACUAAGAAGCCCCGGCUAACUACGUGCCAGCAGCCGCGGUAAUACGUAGGGGGCAAGCGUUAUCCGGAUUUACUGGGUGUAAAGGGAGCGUAGACGGCAAGGCAAGUCUGAAGUGAAAGCUCGGGGCUCAACCCCGGAACUGCUUUGGAAACUGUCAUGCUAGAGUGCAGGAGAGGUAAGUGGAAUUCCUAGUGUAGCGGUGAAAUGCGUAGAUAUUAGGAGGAACACCAGUGGCGAAGGCGGCUUACUGGACUGUAACUGACGUUGAGGCUCGAAAGCGUGGGGAGCAAACAGGAUUAGAUACCCUGGUA